rnacentral:rRNA from 1 species
AUUGAACGCUGGCGGCAGGCCUAACACAUGCAAGUCGAGCGGCAGCGGGAAAGUAGCUUGCUACUUUUGCCGGCGAGCGGCGGACGGGUGAGUAAUGCCUGGGAAAUUGCCCAGUCGAGGGGGAUAACAGUUGGAAACGACUGCUAAUACCGCAUACGCCCUACGGGGGAAAGCAGGGGACCUUCGGGCCUUGCGCGAUUGGAUAUGCCCAGGUGGGAUUAGCUAGUUGGUGAGGUAAUGGCUCACCAAGGCGACGAUCCCUAGCUGGUCUGAGAGGAGGAUCAGGCACACUGGAACUGAGACACGGUCCAGACUCCUACGGGAGGCAGCAGUGGGGAAUAUUGCACAACGGGGGAAACCCUGAUGCAGCCAUGCCGCGUGUGUGGAGAAGGCCUUCGGGUUGUAAAGCACUUUCAGCGAGGAGGAAAGGUUGAUGCCUAAUACGUAUCAACUGUGACGUUACUCGCAGAAGAAGCACCGGCUAACUCCGUGCCAGCCGCCGCGGUAAGAC